CCGUAGCUCAGCUGGAUAGAGUACCUGACUUCGAAUCAGGUGGCCAGAGGUUCGAAUCCUCUCGGGUG
rnacentral:tRNA from 1 species